CUGUAUGAGUUCUUGAUUAUUCGGGGUUUGGAUGAAUUUCUUUGCUGAUUUUUUUUUUAUUUUUUGGUAGAUUAAAAACCCUAAUUGUUUAAUUGUAACCUAUAUCUAUUGUUGGAUCUAUGGGUUCUAUUGGUACUCGGGUAAACAAAAUACUGUUAAUGGAUUUCUACCUCGUCCUUCAACUGGUCAUUCUCUUGUGUCAGCAUCUUCUCCUGCAGAAACAGUGAUCACUAGAUUCAGAUUCAUAAAACAAGCCAAAAUGAAAACUAUAACAUGGUCAGCAGAAGCAUGUUUACUUUAGGGAAAAAAUAGGCCAGCUAACCCAGUUUUGGUAUGAAGAGCAAAUGAUAAAAAGAUUGGACAACAAAGUGAUUGCAUCUACACAUAUAGAGUUAGAAAGUAGAAACACAUCUGAGCUAAAACUAUUCUGUACUUUUGACUGUAUCAACUUCGUUCAGUGUACUUGCGUCGAAUUCAGCUGCGGUGUAAGUUCUAGAUUUGUAGAGUUUUGUUGUUUCACACACCACAAAGUACCAAUAGAGAAAUUUGAAACGACCCGAAAGGUCAUGCUGUUACAUAAUUUCUACUGCAUUACUGUCAGUGUUACUGCAGGUACUGUAAGCUAUAAGGGUCUACAACCUCCUAGCAUAAUACAGAUAUAUUUGGCAGGAAAAUUGAAGACAGGUCUGCGUAACAAAGGAAGAAAACGAUCAAACACGUCAAACUUGUUUACUUUGGUUGCACUGCCUGUAUUAGGUAGAGCAUGAGGCAGCAGGAACAAGAAACUUUGGAGACUCAGCAGUUCGCGCACAGUAAGGUUGCCUGAUAUGCGAUUGACUAUGUUGUACACAUUGUCGUGGCCUGAUAGCUGCUCUAAGAUAAACUUGGCUACGCCUCGAUCUCUGCAAGUAUUCAAUAAUCCGAGGGAGCGGCCUUUCACCUUUGAGAAGAUAGAUGAUGUUCGAGAAAUGUUGGCAAACUUCAUUACCAGUGAUUGUCUUUGAUAUUUUUUUGAACUGAAUCUUAAAUUAUG